CGGAGGGGUUUUAGUUGGUAGGCGCCGGUCGGUUAGGACGGCCGCGGUUUCGGCCGACGGUCACUGCCAGCCGGUGAAUCCAACACUACCCGGGGGCGGUUCCCCCGGGUGUCUUUGGAAGAUUUCCCCUUCG
rfam:Cyphomyrmex costatus contig21529, whole genome shotgun sequence.